rnacentral:rRNA from 1 species
UACGAAGGGGGCUAGCGUUGCUCGGAAUUACUGGGCGUAAAGGGCGCGUAGGCGGACAGUUAAGUCAGGGGUGAAAGCCCAGGGCUCAACCCUGGAAUUGCCUUUGAUACUGGCUGUCUUGAGUAUGGGAGAGGUGAGUGGAACUCCGAGUGUAGAGGUGAAAUUCGUAGAUAUUCGGAAGAACACCAGUGGCGAAGGCGACUCACUGGCCCAUUACUGACGCUGAGGCGCGAAAGCGUGGGGAGCAAACAGG